UUAUCCCGGCAUUUACUUCUGGCCUUUGUCCGAGCCUUGAAUGCUGCCGAGUUGUACAAGUGCUGCAAAACAAAAGAAGAAAUAAAGGUCAUGAAUG